rnacentral:rRNA from 1 species
AGAGAGAGACAUGCGCGCAUAUCAAUAAGCGGAGGAAAAGAAACUAACAAGGAUUCCCCUAGUAACGGCGAGUGAAGCGGGAAGAGCUCAAAUUUGAAAUCUUGAAGGGUUUCCCUUUACGAAUUGUAGUUUAAAGAAGUGUUUUCUGUUGAGGUUUUGGUAAAAGUUCUUUGGAAUAGGACAUCAUAGAGGGUGAGAAUCCCGUAUUUGACCUUUACUUUCAACUUUGUGAUACACUUUCAAAGAGUCGGAUUGUUUGGGAAUGCAGUCCAAAAUGGGUGGUAAAUUUCAUCUAAAGCUAAAUAUUGGCGAGAGACCGAUAGCGAACAAGUACCGUGAGGGAAAGAUGAAAAGAACUUUGAAAAGAGAGUUAAACAGUACGUGAAAUUGUCAAAAGGGAAGCGUUUGACACCAGUGUUGUUUUUCUGAAAAUCAAUUAAAGAACUGUUUAUGCUAAGUUGUUUAGACUUUAUCAGCUAACUGUUUAGUUUUGAGCUUUUCUUUAAUGCACUUUUCAGUUAACAAGUCAACAUCAAUUUCUUUUGCUGUAAAAAAGCUUGAGGAAGGUGGCUUGAGAUUCGUCUUAAGUGUUUAUAGCCUCUUGCCUAUGCAGUCGGAGAGAUUGAGGUCUGCAGCGUAGAUCCUUCGGGGCUAAAUGCAUUUGUGCUAAGUUAUAGCAUUUUAUAGACAACUUGUUGACUAUGAUUUGUCUUGUAGCUUACUCGCUUAUGUUAUUUUACCUACGCUUAGGAUGUUGAGCGCAUGUCUCUCUCU